ensembl:lncRNA
GUUAAUUACCUAUGAUGAGACUCUGACUUUCACAGAAUGCCUUAGCCCUUUGUAAUUUUCAGGUUCUGGCUUAUUCACAAGCUUUUUCAUGAAUAACUGCAGUCCCUCAUGAGUAAUAAAGGAAGAUACAGCUCCACAAGAGAAAAUGAGCUCAUGCGUGCAUGAGCUCCCUGUCAGUUUGCUUUUUGCAGUCUUCCAACAACAUCUCAUCGGCCCCUGUAACAUUUCAUCGGUCCCAUAUAAUUCCUGGGAAUCUGGAGAGCAGAAGAGCUGCUAUUUCUAUGCAAAUGGUGAUACGAUGAGGAAAGGUGUCACACAUGGCCAUUUUUCACAGACUCAGUUAUGUUGUUCAUCAGCUCUGAGGCUCUGGCCUGACUGGCUUCCCUGCUGGAAAAGGCUGUUUCAGUGGAGCACUGACAUCCGGCAACCCUUUGAAAGACACCAGGGACCUAAAGAACGUCGAUGCUGUCAGAUUUCCAGACCUGAAUUCCUCCCCAUAAUACCCAGGCUUGCAGCCAAUUUGGCUGCCUUGGAGCAGCUGUAUCUUUAAAAAAUGCUUGAUGUGUAUUCACAAUUCAAAAAA